rnacentral:lncRNA from 1 species
CCCCCCCUAAUUUUUUGACAUUUUUUUUCAAAUUUUGAGCUGUAGAUUAAACAAUGACAUAAAAGGUGCUAUAUUUUACAGGGUAGGACUACUUUUACAUACGUUCUAAAUUAAAGAAGGUGCAUAGGUGGCCCUACACCUACAAAUAAUCCGUUGAUAGAUGCAGAGUUAUUGUGGUACUGAAUAUUAGCCGAAAAAGUUAUGCGACUUGUUAAAUCAAUGGAUUGGAUAAAAACCAUUUCAAAAUUGAGUUAAAAUUGCUAUAUUUUAACUGAUUUUCUGCCUUUUUGAAUAUUUUUUUAUUUAACGGCCGUUGUUGUCUUAUUCUGUUUUUUGGUUUCUCGAUAUAUCGCCUUA